AGAGUUUGAUCAUGGCUCAGGGCUAACGCUGGCGGCGUGUCUUAGCCAUGCAAGUCGAGCGGACUUAUGGGGUAACUUAUAAGUCAGCGGCGGACGGCGGAGUAACACGUAGCUAACCUACCCUCUGGACGGGGAUAACCUACCGAAAGGUGGGCUAAUACCCGAUGUAGUCAUCCUGUAUAGGGGUGAUGAAAGGUGGGCUUCUGUUUACAAGCUCAUGCUGGAGGAGGGGGCUGCGGCCUAUCAGGUAGUUGGUAGGGUAAUAGCCUACCAAGCCGAUGACGGGUAGCCGGCCUGAGAGGGUGACCGGCCCGAGGGGCACUGAGAUACGGGUCCCACUCCUACGGGAGGCAGCAGGCUAGAAAUUUGGGCAAUGGGGGAAACCCUGACCCAGUGACGCCGCGUGCAGGAAGGAGCCCUUCGGGGUGUAAACUGCUGUCGUGUAGGGAGAAGGGUACUAAGGUGAACAAUCUUAGUACUUGACGGUACUACAGGAGGAAGCCCAGGCUAACCUCGUGCCAGCAGCCGCGGUAAUACGGGGUGGGCGAGCGUUGCCCGGAAUUACUGGGUUUAAAGGGGGUGUAGGCGGUCUGGAUAGUCGGGUGUGUAAUGCAAUCGCUCAACGAUUGAGCUGCAUCUGAUACUUCCAGGCUAGAGGGCGGUAGAGGAGAGCGGAACUCCCGGUGUAGCGGUGGAAUGCGUAGAUAUCGGGAGGAACGCCGGUGGCGAAGGCGGCUCUCUGGGCCGUUCCUGACGCUGAGGCCCGAAAGCUGGGGGAGCGAAAGGGAUUAGAUACCCCUGUAGUCCCAGCCGUAAACGAUGGGCACUAGGUGUACCUUUUAACGGAGGUAUACCGUCGGGAAACCAAUAAGUGCCCCACCUGGGGAGUACGCCCGCAAGGGUGAAACUUAAAUGAAUUGACGG
rnacentral:rRNA from 1 species